rnacentral:rRNA from 1 species
GAUCUAGUAUUUAACGGCCGCGGUAUUUUGACCGUGCAAAGGUAGCGUAAUCACUUGUCUUUUAAAUGGAGACCUGUAUGAAAGGCAUAACGAGGGCUUAACUGUCUCCCCCUCCCGGUCAGUGAAAUUGAUCUUUCCGUGCAGAAGCGGGAAUACGAACAUAAGACGAGAAGACCCUGUGGAGCUUUAGACAAUUAAUGGCCCUUGUAUACUACUUCUCAGCUAAAGGACUAAAAUUAAAAGAUUCCCAUUUUUUGUCUUCGGUUGGGGCGACCGCGGGGAAAUAAAAAUCCCCCAUGUGGAAUAUUGUUACCAAUUUUUAAAUGAAGAGUGACAACUCAAAAUUACAGAACCUCUGACCUAAACUGACCCAGCUUGCUGCUGAUUCACGAAACCAGUUACCCCAGGGAUAACAGCGCAAUCCUCUCCCAGAGUUCAUAUCGACAAGAGGGUUUACGACCUCGAUGUUGGAUCAGGACAUCCUAAUGGUGCAGCCGCUAUUAAGGGUUCGUUUGUUCAACGAUUAAAGUCCUACGUGAUC